UGAAUUCUUUUCUUUAUAAUAAAUCCAGAUUAUCCUAUUACUUUUUCAGAGAAAUCCUGGAUGUUAGUGAAACUCCUGUGACUUAAAAGAAGGCAAAUUUGCGCAGAUUUUUCUCAACGUGUGCUCGAACAGGCAAUCGAGGGAGGCGUGCUGGGGCCGCGUCAUGCUGAGCGCGCCGUGAUACAGGCUCUGGGCCCCGCUUCGGCGCUCUACGGGCUGCCGUAACACCUACCCUGCGAAGGCAAAGCAAACUGGUUUUGAUGCCAUCGUUAACAUAGCCUGAACCGUUGCUCCCCGAUAGGCGGUUGUUGUAGGCACGCUGCUGCGGGUGCAGCCAGGCGCCUCAGGUGCCCCGUGCUCCCCGCCGCGGGGACGCGGGGACCCGCGCUGCUGCUGCUCCCAGCGGGGCACCAGCCGCUGGGCAGGGACAUCUCCCUUCACGAGAAGCCACUGCCAACGCUGCCAAGAGCAAAGUGACAUCCCAGCGUCCCCAGCCCGUGUGAGUGAGCCAAGCCCUGGCGCUGCAGGGGGAGGGAGCAGCUUUCGGAUGCCUUUUCCAGAGGCCGUUUCUGUAGUGGCAAAGUGACUCGGACGAAAAGGGCUUAAGACUAAGAAAUCUCUUCAAAGUCAACAUCCUGGCUGAUAAACGGAUUACAACUGGCAGAUGUCUCUCUACUGAUCAUCUUUUAGUCACCUAUCAGGAAAGUCACUAAAGCACCUCUCGUUGCACCUUCCCGGUUGUCUGCAUUUCGUCCCUGGUACUGCUGUGGGUAAUCAUGGUCAUGACAAGUAUAAAGCUGCUCCAGACACUCCUGCUCAUGCAUGGUGAUGGUAACACUAUCGCUGGUGGCUGAUGCCUGCCGCUGCCAGAGCCGACUGCACUGAGUGCUGGGCAAAGCUGGCUGCUCCAGGGUGCAACGGUUCUCCGCAAUUUGAAUGAGAAAAGAAAAAAAAGUGGAAAGGUGACACAGGGCCAAGGCAGUGAGCUUACUGAACGAUAAGGGAGUGGCUUGCAGUGUCUCCGGUUUGCGUCCUCCCAGGGUCUCUGCGUGAGGGUGAACAGCAGCACCCCUAUUCCAAAGGGAGGGAGGCCUCUAUGAGCUCUGGCAAUCACAGUCUACAUAUGCCUGGGAUUAUGCAGUUCCCGUUGCCGCCUUCCUUUUGCAUUUGCGUUCAUGCUGCUCCAUGCUGAACUGCAUUUGAGACCUGGGCUGGUUUGAACCCUGAGAAGCCCCAGCACGUGUGCCCUGAAGACAGACCCUCGCCCGUGGCGGGGGCACUCAUUGCGGGGCCGCGUGGGGCCUCCCCAGUGCCAGGCAGCAGAGGAGCUCCUUCAGAUGGCCCUCACCCUCGCCCGAAUGAAACCUCCUCAUCGGAUGCUCCCAUGGAUUAGGAGUGACUCUUUGGGUACUGGUGGGAAAUCAAGCGAGCAGACGGGAGGACAGAUGCAGCUCUGCAGAUCAGCCCCAGCUCCGUGUGGCAAACACCUUGGUGAAAAAAGGUGCUGUCCUUCCCGACCGCUGCUUGCAGUGUCCAGGCCCUGCCCUGGGCACGCGCAGCCCGGGCGGCCGCCUUCCCCCGGGCAUCCCGGGCAUGCGGGGUGCCUGGGGACACCUGGGGCAGCCGGUGGCAGGAUCAGGCCCUGCAGGAAGAGCAAAUUUGUUUGCUUAGGAAAUGUAGGGCUUGGGAGGGCAGCGGAGGCGUGUAUUAUGUAUUCAGUAUUUUGUGAUCAAAACCAAAUUUACCCCCAGGAGAUUAGCUUAGUACAAACUGUGCAGCAAUGCAAAAUUAUCUCUUUUAAAAAAUGCUGUCCUAAGUAGUGAUGGGGCCGGGGGAGACUGGGAGCCAUGCCUGUGCCUUGCUGGGAAACUUGGUGUUAUUCAUUAUCUUUAGCUAAUUAAUCAAUACAAAAGCCUUUCCAUGCACAUUUUCAAGCAUUUCCAGCAGAGGGUCUUCACCUCAACAUAGAUCAGCUUAUCCUCUAAAAAGGAAAAAUAAAUCCCCACAAAUGGCAUUAUUACAAAAGAGAUUUUUUUUUUCAAUAAAACUUUUAAUUUCCUUUCUACAUAGCCAUAGGCCAAAAUAAACACAAACACACACUUAUCUUCUCAGCUUAAAGACAGGUAGGAAAAAGCUUGGAGGUUUCAAAACAGAGGCCUAGCCCUGCAGGAAAAAAAAAUAAAAGGAAAAAUCCCAAGACUAGAGAACUUCUAGAAUUCCAGUGUCAGUGGUUAUUAGUCUUCACAUCUUCCCAUAUCUUUCAAAAAUAGAGUUCAGGAUCAAAAACAUCUGUCACACAAAAAUUUAUCUAAUGCAUUUCACCUUAAAAUGUUAGCAUGUUAUUUACAAUUUCUACAUAAGCAAUUAGAAAGCAUAAUUUCCCAAAUUUCUGAGGAAGCCUUAUUACACUGUUUAAACUGCAGGUGGGAAAAGUGAUGCAAAAAGAAUUCAUGUAUUUCCCAUCACCCGUCACUGCUCUCCCUGCAGUCCUUUCCCCUUCCCCUUUGUGGUACCUCCUCCUCAGCUCUCCAGCCAUAAUCCACCCUUAUCUGUCCUACAGCUGUGCAAGUUAAAUCUGCUCAGAGUUCAUUAAAGUAAUCAAAAAAGGAUUAUCUGUUUGUGUAAAAAUCCAACAUUUUAAAAUGAGAUUAAAAUGUUAAAAUGGGAAACAUUGACCAGCUAUACUUUUUUUUAAACCAUUUUGCUUAUUAUCGGUGACCGAGGAACCACUAUUUUAUGAUCUUGUUUUUUAGUUUACGCCUUUUACUGCUAGCUCUGUAAAGCUGUGAUUUUCUCUCUGUCCCCAAUGUCAAAUAUUAGUCUGAAAGCUUUAUUCUCUUAUGGUACUGUCAUCUGCAACUGCCUUUCCGUGUCUGCCAUGGUCUCUCUACUUUACUGUACUUAUGAAGCCUAUGUUACUGCUGUUGUGAAUUUUACUUAUAUCUAUUUUUCCAGACAAGCCAGGAGACCUUUGCUUUGACAGCAGUCCUGGAUAGUAAAGCACUAUACAGACCUGGCUUAGGAGUUGGCUCCUGAAGUGCUAUGCACAGAUUUGCUUUUCAAUGUGUUGGCCUAACUGAAACACUGGAGGAAAGGGAAGAGAGAAAUUCUUUUGUGGUAUGUCUGCAGAUGGAUUUUCACACUAAUAGAAACAAAAAGCUGACAAUAAGUUCGUGUCAGGUGGAACAAACAUUUUGCUUUGCCUCAGCACAAAAUAUUUCUUGUUUAUUUUCCUUUAACAGUUUAAAAACAGAAAGUUUAGACAACCUCCUAAACAAAGGGUGGCUGUGAAGUCUAAAGAGUUCAUUCAGAGGAUGUUGAAAUUAAACAUUUACCAAUCAAGAAAAAAUAUGUCCAUCAAAAUAAUUAACUGAAAUCAAUCUAUAUUUUUGAGUGUUUUGCAGAGUACCUCCCUACCAAAAGUCCCUCCUCCUCAUCUCCUGUUUAGGGGUAAGAAAAUGGAAAUGUUAUGGUCUUCAUUUUAAAGAUAGAAAACUUGGGUGGAGAGAAGUUGGGACUGAUCCCAAGUCACACGGGAUGUCUCAGAAGCAAGAGUCCCAUUCAGAUAUCAGUUCAGCCCUGGGCUACAGUGCCAUUCAAGUGUUAUUUUCCUGCUCAGAGAAAGAGCCCCUUUUCCCUCACCUGCACAGCUGCCUUUUUUUUUUCCUCCCUCCUAUUUAUUCAAGUCAAUCUGCCAGGCUGCAGCAGCCGAGGCAGCCCUCGGCCAGCAGUGUCCCCGGCACCAUUUAUUCCUCAGCUACGAGCUCGUGAUCCAGGGCAGACUCACGCUGCCUUGGCCGCAGCUGAGAUAUGAAAAGCAAUAGCUAUUGCAGAUGGCUGCCACUUCCCCCCCACACCUCACCUCCAGCCCUGAAGUUUAGAGGUUAGUAAAGCAGAAGGGAAAAAUUUGUAAUUGAUUCUGCACUUCCACGUUGCUCGCCGGGGAUCAAAGCCUGCGCUCUCUGCCCAGGGAGAUCUCCCAUUGAAAUCAGCAGGGAGCUUGCAUAAGGUCUUCAGGGGUCUAAGAGCAACCAUCUGCCCCAAGAAUAAAGAAAAUAAAUCCCAGGUGGCAGUUUAGAAAACAGAGUUCAGGGUGAAAUCCCUAUGUCUGUGAGGCACAAACUGUGAUGGAUUAGAAACAAGAUAUUCUCAAUACGUAAUUACGAAUGUUCAUAUCAGAGAUGUGAUUCUAAGCAUCAUAAGCAGUGUUAUAAACUGCCACCAAACUGCUUUGUCAAUAGUAGCUCAUGAAGGACUCCACAAAGCCUAAAACUCCUGCUUGAGUGGCCCCAUGUCUUUUAGCAAGGAGUAUCCUCUCAGUGUAAUGACACUGGAUGCUUUUUAAAAGUGAGGCUCUUGAGGCUCAUGAGGCUUUUUUCCCCCUCAAAAGGUAUAUGGGGUAAUGGUUUGGCAUCCUAUGGCUUGGAUUGCAUAAAAUGUCAGCAUAUGAACCUCUGUAUUUAUACAUUUUAAAAUGUUACAAAUUUCUAAUUUUUAAAAAAUCUAUA